rnacentral:rRNA from 1 species
UUAAAUUGAAGAGUUUGAUCAUGGCUCAGAUUGAACGCUGGCGGCAGGCCUAACACAUGCAAGUCGAGCGGAAACGAGUUAUCUGAACCUUCGGGGAACGAUAACGGCGUCGAGCGGC